rnacentral:rRNA from 1 species
UACAGAGGUCUCAAGCGUUGUUCGGAUUCAUUGGGCGUAAAGGGUGCGUAGGCGGCGCGGUAAGUCGGGUGUGAAAUCUCGGAGCUUAACUCCGAAACUGCAUUCGAUACUGCCGUGCUUGAGGACUGGAGAGGAGACUGGAAUUUACGGUGUAGCGGUGAAAUGCGUAGAGAUCGGGAGGAACACCAGUGGCGAAGGCGGCUACCUGGACCAGCACUGACACUGAGGCACGAAAGCGUGGGGAGCAAACAGG